rnacentral:rRNA from 1 species
UACGAAGGGGGCUAGCGUUGCUCGGAAUCACUGGGCGUAAAGGGUGCGUAGGCGGGUCUUUUAAGUCAGGGGUGAAAUCCCGGGGCUCAACCUCGGAACUGCCUUUGAUACAGCAUAUCUUGAGUCCGAUAGAGGUGGGUGGAAUUCCUAGUGUAGAGGUGAAAUUCGUAGAUAUUAGGAAGAACACCGGUGGCGAAGGCGGCCCACUGGAUCGGUACUGACGCUGAGGUGCGAAAGCGUGGGGAGCAAACAGG